GAUGAACGCUGGCGGCGUGCUUAACACAUGCAAGUCGAACGAAGCACUCUAUUUGAUUUUCUUCGGAAAUGAAGAUUUUGUGACUGAGUGGCGGACGGGUGAGUAACGCGUGGGUAACCUGCCUCAUACAGGGGGAUAACAGUUGGAAACGACUGCUAAUACCGCAUAAGCGCACAGGAUCGCAUGAUCCGGUGUGAAAAACUCCGGUGGUAUGAGAUGGACCCGCGUCUGAUUAGCCAGUUGGCAGGGUAACGGCCUACCAAAGCGACGAUCAGUAGCCGACCUGAGAGGGUGACCGGCCACAUUGGGACUGAGACACGGCCCAAACUCCUACGGGAGGCAGCAGUGGGGAAUAUUGCACAAUGGGGGAAACCCUGAUGCAGCGACGCCGCGUGAGCGAAGAAGUAUUUCGGUAUGUAAAGCUCUAUCAGCAGGGAAGAAGAAUGACGGUACCUGACUAAGAAGCACCGGCUAAAUACGUGCCAGCAGCCGCGGUAAUACGUAUGGUGCAAGCGUUAUCCGGAUUUACUGGGUGUAAAGGGAGCGCAGGCGGUGCGGCAAGUCUGAUGUGAAAGCCCGGGGCUCAACCCCGGUACUGCAUUGGAAACUGUCGUACUAGAGUGUCGGAGGGGUAAGUGGAAUUCCUAGUGUAGCGGUGAAAUGCGUAGAUAUUAGGAGGAACACCAGUGGCGAAGGCGGCUUACUGGACGAUAACUGACGCUGAGGCUCGAAAGCGUGGGGAGCAAACAGGAUUACAUACCCUGGUAGUCCACGCCGUAA
rnacentral:rRNA from 1 species